GAAUAUUGGACAAUGGGCGAAAGCCUGAUCCAGCAAUGCCGCGUGAGUGAUGAAGGCCUUAGGGUUGUAAAGCUCUUUUACCCGGGAUGAUAAUGACAGUACCGGGAGAAUAAGCCCCGGCUAACUCCGUGCCAGCAGCCGCGGUAAUACGGAGGGGGCUAGCGUUGUUCGGAAUUACUGGGCGUAAAGCGAACGUAGGCGGCUUUGCAAGUCAGAGGUGAAAGCCCGGGGCUCAACCCCGGAAUUGCCUUUGAGACUGCAUCGCUAGAAUUGUGGAGAGGUAAGUGGAAUUCCGAGUGUAGAGGUGAAAUUCGUAGAUAUUCGGAAGAACACCAGUGGCGAAGGCGACUUACUGGACCAGCACUGACACUGAGGCACGAAAGCGUGGGGAGCAAAC
rnacentral:rRNA from 1 species